rnacentral:tRNA from 1 species
GGAGAGGUGUCGGAGUGGCUUAUCGAGCCGGUUUCGAAAACCGGUGUACCCUUUAUGGGUGCCGCGGGUUCGAAUCCCGCCCUCCCCGCCA